rnacentral:rRNA from 1 species
UACGGAAGGCAGCAGGGGGAAUAUUGCACAAUGGGCGAAAGCCUGAUGCAGCUAUGCCGCGUGUAUGAAGAAGGCCUUAGGGUUGUAAAGUACUUUCAUCGGGGAGGAAAAAACAAAACUAAUAAUUUUAUUUCUUGACGUUACCCGAAAAAGAAGCACCGGCUAACUCCGUGCCAGCAGCCGCGGUAAUACGGAGGGUGCUAGCGUUAAUCAGAAUUACUGGGCGUAAAGAGCACGUAGGUGGUUUUUUUAAAGUUCAGAUGUGAAAUCCCUGGGCUUUAACCUAGGAACUGCAUUUUGAAACUGAAAUACUAGAGUAUCGUAGAGGGAGGUAGAAUUCUAGGUGUAGCGGUGAAAUGCGUAGAUAUCUGGAGGAAUACCUGUGGCGAAAGCGGCCUCCUAAACGAAUACUGACACUGAGGGUGCGAAAGCGUGGGGAGCAAACGAGGGAUUAGAU